rnacentral:other from 1 species
GUUAACCGCCGCACAGGCGGCUUAGAAG